CCCCUAGAUGUUCUGGGCCGCACGCGCGCUACACUGAACAGUUCAACAAGUCUUAACCUUGGCCGAUAGGUCUGGGUAAUCUUUGAACGCUGUUCGUGAUUGGGAUAGACCUUUGCAAUUAUGGGUCUUCAACGAGGAAUUCCUAGUAAACGCAAGUCAUCAGCUUGCAUUGAUUACGUACCUGCCCUUUGUACACACCGCCCGUCGCACCUACCGAUUGAAUGGUCCGGUGAAAUCUCGGGACGGCGGCUUGGUCGCUUGCGUCCGACUGCUGAAACUUGAUUAAACCAUAUCAUUUAGAGGAAGGUGAANUCGUAACA
rnacentral:rRNA from 1 species